rnacentral:rRNA from 1 species
UACAGAGGUCUCAAGCGUUGUCCGGAAUUACUGGGCGUAAAGAGCUCGUAGGUGGUUUGUCGCGUUGUCCGUGAAAACUCACAACUCAAUUGUGGGCGUGCGGGCGAUACGGGCAGACUGGAGUACUGCAGGGGAGACUGGAAUUCCUGGUGUAGCGGUGGAAUGCGCAGAUAUCAGGAGGAACACCGGUGGCGAAGGCGGGUCUCUGGGCAGUAACUGACGCUGAGGAGCGAAAGCGUGGGGAGCGAACAGG